CUACAUUACACUUGUGAUGCAACAUUUUCUUCACCUUUAACAUAAUUUUGCCUUGCAGGUUGCUACUUCCAAGAAGGAGGGGUAACAAGAACCACCCACCAGUCCUCAGAGAGUAAUGGUUUUUGUGAGAUGCGUGAACACACGCACCACCUAUGAGAGGAUGGGCAAAGGGAAAGGACGUACGAAGGAGGAGAUGGGAGGUCAGCAUCGAGGAUGCUCUCAGCCCGGUUCCAGCAUCCUCCUCUGUAGCUCCAGCUAAGCACAGAAGCCAUACUAUUGGGUACCAAGAACUGCCAUGGCUUAGAAGGGUCAAGCCGGGUACUAGCUGUACCCACCCUGUGAGAAUGUCUUCUAGUAGUCCAUAAAGAGGUGAGUGCACACACCU
rnacentral:lncRNA from 1 species